GACGAACGCUGGCGGCGUGCUUAACACAUGCAAGUCGAACGGAAAGGCCCUGCUUUUGUGGGGUGCUCGAGUGGCGAACGGGUGAGUAACACGUGAGUAACCUGCCCUUGACUUUGGGAUAACUUCAGGAAACUGGGGCUAAUACCGGUUAGGAGCUCCUGCUGCAUGGUGGGGGUUGGAAAGUUUCGGCGGUUGGGGAUGGACUCGCGGCUUAUCAGCUUGUUGGUGGGGUAGUGGCCUACCAAGGCUUUGACGGGUAGCCGGCCUGAGAGGGUGACCGGCCACAUUGGGACUGAGAUACGGCCCAGACUCCUACGGGAGGCAGCAGUGGGGAAUAUUGCACAAUGGGCGGAAGCCUGAUGCAGCAACGCCGCGUGCGGGAUGACGGCCUUCGGGUUGUAAACCGCUUUCGCCUGUGACGAAGCGUGAGUGACGGUAAUGGGUAAAGAAGCACCGGCUAACUACGUG
rnacentral:rRNA from 1 species